CUGCUGCCUCCCGUAGGAGUCUGGGCCGUGUCUCAGUCCCAGUGUGGGGGGCCUUCCUCUCAGAACCCCUACGCAUCGUCGCCACGGUGGGCCGUCACCCCGCCGUCUAGCUAAUGCGCCGCAUGCCCAUCCGCCACCGGAUCGCUCCUUUGGCCACCGGAGGAUGCCCUCCGGUGGCGUCACGGGGUAUUAGGCCGCGUUUCCGCGGGUUAUCCCCUGUGGCGGCCAGGUUGCAUACGUGUUACUCACCCGUGCGCCGGUCGCCGGG
rnacentral:rRNA from 1 species